GGCCUCCCUGGAUCAUGUCUGGAGAGUGGCUAGCAUCGUGCCAGCUUCAGAGACUGGAGGGAAAGCUAGCCCUUCAGAGGUUCUCAUUCUAUUCCCAGCUUGCUCAGCAGCUGGUGAUGAGAAGAUACCGCAACAAUG
ensembl:snoRNA